UUGCUAAUAUUUCUCCUUGUUCUCUCUUGAUGUACUAUUUUCUCGUCAUUAAAUUUGUUUUGUAUAAAAAAAGUUGUUCAGUGGCGAUGAGUUGACAAAAUUAGUUUUCAAGCUUAAUGUGUUUUGAGCUGCAGGUCCCUCAGAAUCAGUGGCAAUGAGUAGACUCAGAUUUGUCAAAUGAGAAUAAUAACCAAGGAUUUUCCUUGCUGAAAGUUUAAUAAACACGGUUAUAAAAUGGUGUUGAUGCUUUCUAUCCUGUGAAACAAAGCAAUUGCCAUCUUUCCAC